rnacentral:rRNA from 1 species
AGGGAGGAAGGUAGUGUAGUUAACACCUGCACUAUUUGACGUUACCUACAGAAGAAGCACCGGCUAACUCCGUGCCAGCAGCCGCGGUAAUACGGAGGGUGCGAGCGUUAAUCGGAAUUACUGGGCGUAAAGCGCAUGCAGGCGGUCCUGUUAAGUCAGAUGUGAAAGCCCGGGGCUUAACCUCGGAAUUGCAUUUGAAACUGGCAGGCUAGAGUCUUGUAGAGGGGGUAGAAUUUCAGGUGUAGCGGUGAAAAUGCGUAGAGAUCUGAAGGAAUACCAGUGGCGAAGGCGGCCCCCCUGGACAAAGACUGACGCUCAGAUGCGAAAAGCGUGGGGAGCAAACAGGAUUAGAUACCCUGGUAG